rnacentral:rRNA from 1 species
AACGAACGCUGGCGGCGUGGAUAAGACAUGCAAGUCGAACGCUUGUUUCGGGGUAGCAAUAUUCCGGAGCAGGAGUGGCGCAAGGGUGCGUAACACGUGGGUAAUUUGCCGCGAAGCUGGGAACAACUCGUUGAAAGACGAGCUAAUACCCAAUGUGCUCCGCAAGGAGUAAAGCCGGGGACCGCAAGGCCUGGCACUUCGCGAUAAGCCCGCGGCCUAUCAGCUAGUUGGCGGGGUAAAAGCCCACCAAGGCUAAGACGGGUAGCUGGUCUGAGAGGACGACCAGCCACACUGGAACUGAGACACGGUCCAGACACCUACGGGUGGCAGCAGUCGAGAAUUUUUCACAAUGGGCGCAAGCCUGAUGGAGCGACGCCGCGUGGGGGAGUGAAGGGGCUUCGGCUCGUAAAACCCCUCGUCAUUUGCGAAC